AUAUAUAUAUAUGCGUUAUCUAGGGCAAGUGGCAACGAACUGAGUGCACACGUGAUAUAAAAAAAAUCCCAGCUUUUUUUCUUGUCCCAUCAUUGAAGUCUGUUUGUGGUAACUGAGGCUAAUAACACAAUAACGAUGAAGGAUGCGUGGAGGGACUGUGAGGGUUGGAGGAACUCCAAGCUCCCCAUGACGUCAUCUAACGAUGACGCAUGCAAGUGGUUUGAUGCUUCUCUGACUCAAAUCACAACAAUGUACGCCGACGACGAGGCGGGAGGGAUGGGCAACUCAUUCAAGAAUAUGAUGGAAGCUGACCCAGAUUUCGUAAUGGGACAGGUUUUUGUUAACUCCAUGAAAUUUGGCGGAUCGAAGACAGAAACAGAGGAAGUCAUUAAAACAGUAGACAGUAUCUUAGCUCUAGCCGCCAAACAGAAAGUAACGGAAAGAGAAAGUAAACAUGUGACUGCUCUAAAGCUCGUAACAGAAGGGAAACUGACGGAAGCUAUAGAAGUGUACCGUAACAUACUGAAGGAUUCUCCCACGGACCUGCUGGCCUGUCUAUUGGCUUUCUUUAAAUACUACGAGCUGGGCAUGUUUAACGAAAUGCUUGACAUGAUGGCGUCUGUGAUUGACGCUUACACACCUGAAACUCCGGGGUACAGCACUAUUUUAGGAUGGAAGGCCUUUGCUCAUGAGGAAAACUCGCAGCUUCCAGAAGCUGAAGAAAACGCAUACAAGAGCCUCGCUGCGUCUCCCAGAGAAACCUUUGCCAUCCACACAAUGGCCCAUGUACAUCUGGAGAAAGGGAUGCACGAUGCCGGACUAGCGUUUCUACAGAGUAAAGAAAAGUACUGGGCGGUAAGGAGAGAGAGAGAGAGAGAGAGAGAGAGAGAGAGAGAGAGAGAGAGAGAGAGAGAGAGUCUAUAAAUGGUUAUUAAUCUAUUUCCUGUUUUGCAGUCCUGCAGCUUGGCCUGUCACAUUGCAUGGCACGAGGCUUUAUUCCAUGUUGAAAAGGGACAGUUCGAUCUUGCCGUCAAGGUGUUUGAUGAAAAAAUCAUUGCGCGCGGGAACUUUAAUGAUGCGUCCUCCCUCCUGUACCGUUUGGCAUUCGAAGACGUACGCGUGCCUCAGCGUUGGAAGGGGGUCCUGGACCUAGUGGACAAAUUUAGCGGGCAUCACACGUGGGUGUACACAGAUCUACACAUCCUGUUUACUCUGUACAGAAACGGAGAGAAAGAGCGGGCUAAUGACCUGCUGGAGGGCCUCAAGGAAUACGUCACGAAAAAUACUGGAACAAACGCUCAGGUGACGCAUGAUGUGGGCAUGCCCCUGUGUGCUGGAAUAACGGCGUUUGAGGAAGGACACUACGAGACGGCCACCAACUGUCUGAACUCUGUAUACAGCAAACUAAACCGAAUAGGGGGCAGCAGAGCUCAGAGAGACACGUUUGUCCAGCUCCUUCUCCAUUCCGCCAUUAAAUCCUCUAACCCCGACCACAAAGUUCUGGCCCGGACGCUGCUUAACCAGAGGAAAUCCGAUCGGGUGGAAGACCCGCUGGGCGAUCGUCUGCUGAUGCUGCUGGACAGUAAAUCGGGCUGAAUCAGAGGCCCGCUGUGAUAUCAGCCUUCUAGUCUACGCCGUACUGUAUAAACUGAUGAUAUAAUCGGAGAUUGUAUCCGUUCACGGAAGUGACGGCUACGCAUGUCCAUUGAAAAAUUUAGAAAACUGCAUGGGUCUCCGUCACCUUCAGAAGAUUAAACCCAUGUAUACUGAAUGUUAUAUAUCAUUUUUGUUAUAUCUUGGGAAUUAAAUCUUGACAGUCAGGGUAGAUCUGGAUUCAUAUAUAAUUACAUUUAGUUUUCAUUUUACUAUCGCAUGUUUACAUACAUGUAUGUACAUGUUUAAAGACUCAUUUAUUCGGAGAUAUUAAAUCGUGAAUUCAGUGCAAGUU
rnacentral:misc_RNA from 1 species